CAAGCCCAUAUAAUUCAUUAAUUUCACAUUUUAUUCCCUCAAAUUAUUAUUUUUGCAAUUAAGUCCUAAUUACUCAAAAUCGUCAAAAACUCCAAUACAAAAUAUGUUAAUCUAAAACAUAUAUUUCAUUUUUCAUUAUCAAACAACAAAAAUCACAAGCUAUCAACAAUGGCACAACUCAAAAUAUUCAUCAAAAUCAAAAAUUAAAGCUUGGGUUUUGUAGUGCUCGAAGCAACGAUCUCAAAAACGUAGAAAUUAUCAAAAACCGAGUUAAACUUAUACGUUAAUUAAGCUUCAAAUUGG
rnacentral:lncRNA from 1 species